AUCAUCUGGCAAUUUUGGUAAAAUGCAGAUUCUAUUUUGGUACAUCUCGGGUAGGGCCCAAGAUUCUGCAUUUCUAACAAGUUCCCAGAUAAUGCUUU
rnacentral:pre_miRNA from 1 species